rnacentral:rRNA from 1 species
GAGUUUGAUCGUGGCUCAGGAUGAACGCUGGCGGCGUGCUUAACACAUGCAAGUCGAACGAAGAUAAAUGAAAUGAGAACUUCGGUUGGAUUUUCAUUUAUCUUAGUGGCGGACGGGUGAGUAACGUGUGGGCAACCUGCCUUAUACUGGGGAAUAAUCAUUGGAAACGAUGACUAAUACCGCAUGUCACCUCGGGAGGGCAUCCUCAUGAGGGAAAAGGAUUUAUUCGGUAUAAGAUGGGCCCGCAUCUGAUUAGCUAGUUGGUGAGAUAAUAGCCCACCAAGGCGACGAUCAGUAGCCGACCUGAGAGGGUAAUCGGCCACAUUGGGACUGAGACACGGCCCAAACUCCUACGGGAGGCAGCAGUGGGGAAUAUUGCACAAUGGGGGAAACCCUGAUGCAGCAACGCCGCGUGAAGGAAG